AUGAGAAUAAGAGUAAUGUUGCGAAUGAGAGAAUAAGUGUGACGUGUGAAUGUGACGAACCUAACCCUAGUUUUCUGUCGCCGUUCAUCUUCUCCCCACCACUCAGCUCCAAGUUGCCGUAAGCAACGUUAUCAUUGUUGUUGCCUUUGGCAAAGGUUCUAGAUCUGCUUCUCUGGCUUCGAUUUGAGGUUUAUCGCCGUCGUUCAUCUCCGCCGUCAUUCAUUUGCUCGGCACCGCUCAGCUCCAAGUUGCUGUAAGCAACGUUAUCGUUGUUGCUGCCUUUGGUAGAGGUUCUAGAUCUGCUUCUCUGACUUCGAUUUGAGGUUUUAUUGCCGCUGUUCAUCUUCUCGCUGCCGUUCAUCUACUCUUCGCCGUUCAUCUCCUCACCACUGUAAGCAACAUCGUUGAUGUUGUCUUUGGUGGAGCUUCUGUGAUCUAAUUUUUUGCCUUGAUUUGAGGGUUUGCUUUCUGUUCACAACCGUUCAUCAUCUCCUUGCUGCCGCAAGUGACGGCGUUGUUGCUAUCUCUGGCGGAGCUUCUGAGAUCUAGUUAUUUGGCUUCAAUUUGCAGAUUCAAUCUGGUUCUCUAGCUGUAAAGCUAUUGUUGCUGCCUCCAACAAAGAUUGUAUGAUUUGGUUCUACCAUCCAUAUCAAUUCACAGUAAUCUACUUCAUCUUCUUCUUUUUUUUUUUUAUUUUCCUCCUCCAUAUGAUUAAAAUAGUGUUAACUAAUUUAAAUUACAUUAUUAAUGUACAAUUAAUUGAUGAUUACCUUACUAAUAACUAAAGACCAAAGCGAUUACGCAAGCUAAGUGAUCGUUGAAGAGAAUUAAUUAUUUAAUUAAUUAAUUAAGAAAUUAUGGCGGAGGAAAUUAGAUUCUUCGAUCUGAACACAGGUGCCAAAAUACCUUCUGUUGGAUAAGGAACUUUUCAGGCUGAAAAUCCUAGAGCCUUGGCCAAGAUACUCAACAACACAUGCAUGAAUGAAUUAAUUAAGUAGUUUAGAGAUGCCAAUAAUCCCAAGUUAAGCUGUAUCAGCAUGCAAUAAUUUGUUCUUGUUAGAAACAAAUGAUUAAGUUAACUUAAUACAAGGACAUAUAUAUAGUUAAACUAAGCUUACAAAUUUCAACGUGACCAGUAUUUUUCUAAUGCCAUGUUGUUGGAUUGUUUUGCUAUGCUUUAUUAUUUAAUUUAAACCUUAUAAUUAGGAAACUUGGAACCAAUAAUCUAUUCAAAAUAUCAAAUAACCAGUAAUUACUCCUUCUUAUAUAUAAAUUCAAUUCAUAUGUGAUUGAGCUGUAAAAGUGCCACAAGAAGAAGCGGGUUCUGCUUAGAAAGAACAAGAAACGAUGGUAAUCUUUAAUGUUUUAUUUCAGUUCUACCUGAGCCAGGAAUUUGAAUGUUCCUAUAACAUAUAUUGACAAAGCAUAUCAAGUGAUGAGUUUGGUCUGAUUAUUACUCAACAGGGAAUCUGUAGAGAUAUGGUAGGUGCCCAACAAGGGCUACGAAGGAAAUGAGGAAAUAGAGCUGCACUUUUUGUAUACGUAUGUAAUUAUAUUGGUGCAUGAAGCAUUGGAAGGGCUAGAGAACAUGGCGUUCGUUGCCAAUGCGGUGAGCCUAGUAACAUAUUUCUUUGGCUUCAUGAACUUUAGCUUAACAAAAUCUGCCACAACCUUGACCAACUUCAUGGGAACUGCAUUCUUGCUAUCUCUAGUUGGAGGAUUCAUCAGUGAUACAUAUCUGUCUAGGUUCAAAACAUGUGUUAUCUUUGCAUCCAUGGAAUUGCUGGUUCUGCUCUCAAGAAGCUUUUUGAUAAGUUGAGAUCUGAAUAGCUUGACAUACAUUAUUCAAUUCCAAAGGUAGUUACUGCUAUAUUCUUCCCUUGUCAGUUUCUUUGUGUUCCAAGUUCUUUUGCUUUGCUUAUAGUGUUAUCUUUACUUGAUGGCAUUUUAGACAAUGCUCCAGAAAAGGAUAUUUGGUCAUGGUGGUGUGAUGAUAUCUGGUCUUGAUUCAUCUGUUUCAAAUGACAAACUUAAGCAUAUUUUUGGAUUAUAUGGAGAAAUUAAAGAAGUCAAUUUUAAUUCUGGGCUUUCACCUUUUUUGCAUCAUGUGUCUUACCAAGAAUUAUUUUGGCAUUAGUAAUUAUUGUGUAAUGGCAGAUCUAUGAAUCUCUUGAAGUGAAUCAUGUGAAAUUCAAUUUGAGUUCUAUGAUGUGCGAGCUGCCAAAGCUUCUCUUGGUGCUUUAAACAGGAUCUAUGUUCCUGGGAAGCAAAUCAAGCUUGAACAUGGCCAUCCUAGAAUUGCUAUGUAUUGGCUCUACCUGCUACUUUUAGAUGUAAUUUAUUUUCUUGUUAUAGAAUAUUUUUAAACUGUUUCUUCUCUUGGUUGUCUCAAAUUGUUUGUGAGAGAAACAAGGGAAUCAAGAAUUCAGUGAUAAAUUUCAAGACAGAAAAGGCCAGCGGGAUAACAAAAUUAUCCCUCUCUACAUUGAGUUGAGUUUCUAACAUUGCUUAAUUAGUUAAUGCAUGCAUAUGUUGUAAGAUGAUGAAGUUGUUUGUGCUCCUUUAUUGUUCGAGACAAAAGAACCAAGAUUCAGAGGUGCUUACAAGGUGUUUGCAUCAACAAUAUUACUGUGCAUAUCUCUGAUUUUGUUUACUCUUAUUUUGAUGUUGCCUAUCUGCAUUGUCCACCUCUAUUUUAUGAUUUGUUGGAGUCUUUUUUAUUGGUAUUCCAGCUUGUCAAUUAAAGUACAUUAAUUUGCUUGCUUUGGUUCUAGUGGCCUAAUAUUGCUGAAGAUGCUGUCAGAGUACAGUGAUAUGAACAACCUGUUGCUGUCACUUUCUUCAGAAGUUGUACAUCGUGUGGUAGAAAUUUUGAAAUUUUUUCACACACGAACUUGUAAACUUGUGCUCGGGGCUGGUGCUAUGCAGAAAAUGCUGGUGCUAUAGAAGCUGUUGUUCGAGAGAGCUUUCAUAAACUUUUGAAGGCACACUAUAUUAAAUGCUGCCCUGCACUAGAGCCAGUUGUUUUUACACUCAUUAAGACAAAAUAUGCUCCUAGAAAGCAGGCUUCUAAGAUGGCCAACGUAAUUCGUUCUUUUCAAUUUCUAUAAACAGUUGGGUUAAUUAAAUAAAGUAGCAUUUUUUUGUGAUAUAGGGACACCCCUUUUAAUUUGGUUGCUGAUGUAAGUACUUCUCUUGGCUUGACUUUGAUAUUAUUUGUCUCAUUUUUUUAAUUUGUUUUGUGUCAUUUUUUUAAUUUGUUUUGUGCUAUUCAAGUUAAUGGUUUAUCUAUUUAUUCUUUUUUAUUAUGUUUUCAAAUUAUACUU